GGCUUUCGGGUCGUAAAAACUCUGUUGUUAGGGAAGAACAAGUGCUAGUUGAAUAAGCUGGCACCUUGACGGUACCUAACCAGAAAGCCACGGCUAACUACGUGCCAGCAGCCGCGGUAAUACGUAGGUGGCAAGCGUUAUCCGGAAUUAUUGGGCGUAAAGCGCGCGCAGGUGGUUUCUUAAGUCUGAUGUGAAAGCCCACGGCUCAACCGUGGAGGGUCAUUGGAAACUGGGAGACUUGAGUGCAGAAGAGGAAAGUGGAAUUCCAUGUGUAGCGGUGAAAUGCGUAGAGAUAUGGAGGAACACCAGUGGCGAAGGCGACUUUCUGGUCUGUAACUGACACUGAGGCGCGAAAGCGUGGGGAGCAAACAGGAUUAGAUACCCUGGUAGUCCACGCCGUAAACGAUGAGUGCUAAGUGUUAGAGGGUUUCCGCCCUUUAGUGCUGAAGUUAACGCAUUAAGCACUCCGCCUGGGGAGUACGGCCGCAAGGCUGAAACUCAAAUGAAUUGACGG
rnacentral:rRNA from 2 species